AAAGGAAUCAAGGGCGUACAGUGGAUGCCUUGGCACU
rnacentral:rRNA from 1 species